rnacentral:rRNA from 1 species
UUUAAUUGAAGAGUUUGAUCAUGGCUCAGAUUGAACGCUGGCGGCAGGCCUAACACAUGCAAGUCGAGCGGCAGCACAGAGAAACUUGUUUCUCGGGUGGCGAGCGGCGGACGGGUGAGUAAUGCCUGGGAAAUUGCCCUGAUGUGGGGGAUAACCAUUGGAAACGAUGGCUAAUACCGCAUGAUGCCUACGGGCCAAAGAGGGGG